rnacentral:lncRNA from 1 species
UGACGCAUAUUCUCAAGAGUUGAGAAUUUGAGGCAUGUGUCAUUAGUGAUUAAUUCCUGAAUUGCUCCUGAUCGAUGGAUCCAUCACGAGGGACGGUGAUCGAUCCGCUGAGAUUAGUGCACAGAUCACUUAGUCAGAUGGAUGAGUCUUGAGUCCACAGUGUGGGGAUACUGGAGUGAUUGUGCAAGUGCUUGUUAGAGAACAAGGGUACUGAGCGUGACCAAAGCAAGUAG